rnacentral:rRNA from 1 species
GAUGCUAAUACCGCAUAACAACUUGGACCGCAUGGUCCGAGCUUGAAAGAUGGCUUCGGCUAUCACUUUUGGAUGGUCCCGCGGCGUAUUAGCUAGAUGGUGGGGUAACGGCUCACCAUGGCAAUGAUACGUAGCCGACCUGAGAGGGUAAUCGGCCACAUUGGGACUGAGACACGGCCCAAACUCCUACGGGAGGCAGCAGUAGGGAAUCUUCCACAAUGGACGAAAGUCUGAUGGAGCAACGCCGCGUGAGUGAAGAAGGGUUUCGGCUCGUAAAACUCUGUUGUUAAAGAAGAACAUAUCUGAGAGUAACUGUUCAGGUAUUGACGGUAUUUAACCAGAAAGCCACGGCUAACUACGUGCCAGCAGCCGCGGUAAUACGUAGGUGGCAAGCGUUGUCCGGAUUUAUUGGGCGUAAAGCGAGCGCAGGCGGUUUUUUAAGUCUGAUGUGAAAGCCUUCGGCUCAACCGAAGAAGUGCAUCGGAAACUGGGAAACUUGAGUGCAGAAGAGGACAGUGGAACUCCAUGUGUAGCGGUGAAAUGCGUAGAUAUAUGGAAGAACACCAGUGGCGAAGGCGGCUGUCUGGUCUGUAACUGACGCUGAGGCUCGAAAGUAUGGGUAGCAAACAGGAUUAGAUACCCUGGUAGUCCAUACCGUAAACGAUGAAUGCUAAGUGUUGGAGGGUUUCCGCCCUUCAGUGCUGCAGCUAACGCAUUAAGCAUUCCGCCUGGGGAGUACGGCCGCAAGGCUGAAACUCAAAGGAAUUGACGGGGGCCCGCACAAGCGGGGGAGCAUGUGGUUUAAUUCGAAGCUACGCGAAGAACCUUACCAGGUCUUGAC